CCACGGGGGGCAGCAGUGAGGAAUAUUGGUCAAUGGACGCAAGUCUGAACCAGCCAUGCCGCGUGCAGGAUGACGGCUCUAUGAGUUGUAAACUGCUUUUGUACGAGGGUAAACCCCGAUACGUGUAUCGGGUUGAAAGUAUCGUACGAAUAAGGAUCGGCUAACUCCGUGCCAGCAGCCGCGGUAAUACGGAGGAUCCGAGCGUUAUCCGGAUUUAUUGGGUUUAAAGGGUGCGUAGGCGGUUUGAUAAGUUAGAGGUAAAAUGUCGGGGCUCAACCCCGAAACUGCCUCUAAUACUGUUGGACUAGAGAAUAGUUGCGUUAGGCGGAAUGUAGGGUGUAGCGGGGAAAUGGUUAGAGAUCAUACAGAACACCGAUUGCGAAGGCAGCUUACCAAACUAUAUCUGACGUUGAGGCACGAAAGCGUGGGUAGCAAACAGGAUUAGUACCCUAGUAGUC
rnacentral:rRNA from 1 species